GGGUUGCGGACUACGUAGUCCUCAGGGGUUCUGCUCUGUUGGCCCCCUUCCUACUCUGGUGGGGUCAGAUGGCAGAGCCCAGGGCUGAUGGGCUGUAGGACGAGCCCAGGGGACUCAGGUGUUCUAUCACCACCCAGCUUGAAGCAGGGUCCUAUGCAGGGGGAAAAUGCCGCCCCAGCCUCCCUUCCCUUCUCCAAGCUUUCUCUGCUCCCACAGGGACUGAAGCAUGAAAGGCAAGGGCAGCUCAGUGAAGAAAGGAAUGCUUCCAAGUCCUGUUUAGUCCAGGAUUUCAAGACACCGAAAGAUGCAGAAGUGGAAGUUGGGGGGCACAGAAGUGGACCACAGUUGGACGAGUCAUCUUGUCAGUUUGGGGUCAGGGAUUCAUCUUCAAUGAAAAGAAUGAUAAUGCCUCAUAAACACUGCCUUUGGAUGCUGGCAUGAGGAUCCUGGCCCUGGCACAGCACUUUCACAGAAUGAGUCCACAUCCUCUCUUCUAGAACAUUCCAGGCCCACAGAUGUCUGAGACAGCCUGGGGGGAUGUCUUGGCCAGUGCAAUCCCUCACAGCUCUAUUGAAUUCUCAUACUGCUGUUGCUAUCGCCUAUCUGGAGCCAAGUUACCAAAUGAAUGAAAUACCUUGCUAGGCUUCAAAACAAAACCACAGGAACUUCCUAAAUAAGUAUGAUGGAAAACAAAGUGAUAUUAGUGCAUUGGUGAAGGGUGUGGUGUGAUUAACAAACAUUUGAAGAGCUGUGAAGCUAUACCCCAGAUCACAUAUAGUGUUGUAAACCAGAGUCACUUCAAUAAAAAAUAAUACAACUAAAAAAAGAAAGAGAAGAAAAAUAAAGUGAAAACCACAGUUCCUGUAAUGAAUUCAAAGACUGUUCCAAGUUGGAAAUAAUGUUCAACAAAGGAAUUUAAGACCAAGGGGGUGGUUAGGAGAGAAAUUCAACUGGCAAUGAGCAGAUAUCAAGACUCCAUCUCAAAAACAAAUGUGGCAACCCUCUGUGUGUUGCUCUAUUGAUUUAAAAUUCAGCAUGACUUCAUUUUUUCGGAUGCCACUGAUUUAAAAUGUUGGUAAAAUACAUGAUCAGACUAGACUGUCACGCUCCACUACUUAUAAGAAAAGACUUACAAAGAAAAUUCAGAAGACAAACAAGAGCACAAGGGGGACUGUUAGGUUUAAUGAAUAAAAUAAGCUCUUUAAAAGAC